rnacentral:rRNA from 1 species
UACAGAGACUGCAAGCGUUAUUCGGAUUCACUGGGCGUAAAGCGUGCGCAGGCGGUUUUGCAAGCCGGAUGUGAAAUCCCCGGGCUCAACCUGGGAAUGGCAUUUGGGACUGCAAGGCUCGAGUGCGGCAGAGGAGACUGGAAUUCCUGGUGUAGCAGUGAAAUGCGUAGAUAUCAGGAGGAAUACCGAUGGCGAAGGCAGGUCUCUGGGCUGACACUGACGCUCAUGCACGAAAGCGUGGGGAGCAAACAGG